GACGAACGCUGGCGGCGUGCUUAACACAUGCAAGUCGAACGGGCCCGCCCCUGUUUUUGGGGGUGGGUUGAGUGGCGAACGGGUGAGUAUCCCGUGAGUAACCUGCCCCCUGCUCCUGGAUAACUGCUUGAAAGGGCGGCUAAUACGGGGUGUGCCGGCUGGUCCGCAUGGGCCUGGUCGGGAUAGUUUCAUCUUCGGGUGUUUCGGUGGGGGAUGGGCUCGCGGCCUAUCAGCUUGUUGGUGGGGUGAUGGCCCACCAAGGCGGUGACGGGUAGCCGGCCUGAGAGGGUGGGCGGCCACACUGGGACUGAGACACGGCCCAGACUCCUGCGGGAGGCAGCAGUGGGGGGUAUUGCACAAUGGGCGGAAGCCUGAUGCAGCGACGUCGCGUGAGGGAUGGAGGCCGUCGGGUUGUGAACCUCUUUCUCCGGUGGUGAAGGCCCUGUCCGUUGCGGCGGGGUUGACGGUAGCCGGGGAUGAAGCGCCGGCUAACUACGUG
rnacentral:rRNA from 1 species